GGCAUCUGAGCGCCGGCUCCGCGGAGGCGUCUCUUGCAAUUGCUGGGAAAUAGGAAUGAGAGUUUUAAGGCUGUUUUAACAACCAAAUCAGAUUAAAUAAAUUAACAUGUUUAAAUUGUUAUCAAUUGUUCCUUCAGUUGCUUUAGGACGAUUGGAGAGGAGCCUCGGUCCACAAGACCGGAAGCCUGAGGAGUGCAGCUUUGUCCCCAAGGUCACAGUGACUGGCUUUCUGCUGCCGGCUGUAAAGCACAUGCGGACCGAAACCCCCCUUCGGAAGUGUUUGAAAACUGCAAGAUUUCACCCUCUCCAUCACCAAGCCAAGGGAAACAUAACCAAAAGGGUUUUCUUCCCGAUGGCGAAGGCAUGAUAGACUCCAGAUGUUCCUAUAGAUAACCUUAAGGAACACGGUGCCUGGGACGUGGUUGCCCUCAGCAUUCCUUCUGGUGACAGAUGCAGUUGUCAGUUUGCCAACAUCCUGCUUUCAUGAGAACAGUUUGCUGUUUGCUCAUAUACCCUCCAGUGGUAUAUUGAGUUGGUCACGUCCCUCAUUCCUUUGGCCUCCAACAGGUGAAGGCUAAAGAAGGCUUUCUCAUCCAACGUCUUCACUGAGGAUAGGAAAGCCCUUUCUCUCCAAUUGUGAACUGCACGCAUGUGUGUAAGCUAUGCUUGCAUAGCAAAGUCCACUUGGGCAUUAGAGUCAAAGUUGUUAAGGGGAGCUAGUCAUAGCUACCACGUGGCCAGGCAUGUGGAACCAGACACCAGGCACACAUCAUGAAUCAUCAUAUUUACUUUAAAUAAUGCUGACAACCUAGUUCAUAGUGACACACUACUUGAGAUAUAUAGAAUAACAUUAUUACCCAGUAAGUAUGUGAACAUUCCGAUAUUUUAGUAAGGGUCAUCACCAUGGCACUUAUCUACAGAGAUAAAUGAAAACUAAAACAGGGUUGCUGCAUUAAUUUUGCCCUGGCAAUUGUCUGAUUCUGAAAUGGUGGCAGGUUUUGAGCCAAAACUUGAAUGAGUAAGAACUUGCCAUAUAGCCGAGAAGAGCACUCUAGCAAAAAGAAAUAAAUAUAAGGAAGCAUAAUAGUUAAAGGUUUUUAAGGAACUACAAAUAAUUCAGUGUGAUGAAGUAUGGAGGUGAGGUCAUGUGAGGGAGAGGGAUUUGGAGAGAAAAGUGGCUGUGUUCCGAUCACCUCCUGUGCACCUGUUGAAAGACAAUAAAUUCUCCUGCCCUAAAUAGUAAGAAGGCUGGACACAUGACCUCAACACUGAAUAAAUGAGACUGGCAGAAAUUUAUUAGUCAUAUGUACUCACAGCCUGGAAAAAAGAGGGCACUGCAUACCGUGCAAGGCCACAGAAGGUUUGCACUCAGGAACAGAAUGAACCAUUAGGGGCUGUGAGAGGUAGGCUUUGUAGUCAUCAGAGGGUUGGGUGACUCCUGGUUCCCUCCAGAGAAUGUAGUUGGCUUGCUUUAACAGUUUUAGGGACUGGCAGUGAGACGAAACCCAUUAGGUUGAGGCCUGAGUGAGAUGCAGCUGGUCUGUCAGAUAAGGGAACUGGACAAGUAGGGAACCUUUCCUGCUUGUGGGAGUCAUAGCUAUCAAGACAGGGGAAUUUGUGGAUAAGCAUUUUUGGGGAGCUCUGUGAGGGUCAAAAAUCUCAAGGCAGCAGUUGAAAUUUUAGGUCUUACAAUACCUAAAAUUGGUUUGGAGUUAUGGCAGAACAAAAAGGGAAAGAACAGGUCAUAAGGGCGUGAGUAUACAAGGCAAACACUUGGAUUUUAUUUUUCAGUGGGCAAUAGGAAACCACUGACCAAUUGUGAGCAAAGAAUAUUAUUCCAGUUCUCUUCUGAGAAAAAAAAGUCUCUGUCCCAUUCCAGGAGGUGCAGCAAUCAAUCAAUCAAUCAAUAAGGGGGGAAAUAAAGGAAAAAAGUCUUUAGAGUUUUCAUGUUUAUGAUCUGGUCCUUGAUUGGUUUAUUUUUCAGCAAGUCACUUCUUUUCUAACUUGGGAAAGGGAAAGUUUGGGACUGUAUAUAUUUAUUUAAAUCUGACCACUCCACACUAGUCAUCUCCACUUGAAUGUUCAAUACACAACUUGAAGUAAAUGCUGAAACAGAUUCUAGAUCCCCACCACACACAUACACACUCCACUCUCAAAAUGCUCUUUCUGAAGUCAUUCCUGUCUCAGUAAAUGCAAACUGUGUUGUUACAGCAAAAGAAACUGGAGAUAUAUAUGACUUUUCUAUUUAUUUCACACCAAUUUAAUCACAAACCCUUUAAAACAUACCCAGAAUUCAACCACUCCUUGAUACUUCUACAAACACUACCCAUAAUGGUUUAUGGGUCAUCCAGAUAUUAUAAUAGCCUUUCAAUCAAUCUUCUCCAGGAAGGAGAAAGAGAGAGCAACAAAGAUUUUUGCAGAAUAGAAGAAUAUUGUUAAAUAAUUAUCACAUUGGCCGGGCGUGGUGGCUCACGCCUGUAAUCCCAGUACUUUGAGAGGUCAAGGUGGGAGGAUCAGCUCAGGUCAGGAGUUCGAGACCAACCUGGCCAACAUAGUGAAACCCCGUCUCUACUAAAAAUACAAAAAUUAGCCAGGCAUUGGUGGUGGGCGCCUGUAAUCCCAGCUACUUGGGAGGCUGAGGCAGGAGAAUCGCUUGAACCUGGAAGGCAGAGGUUUCGGUGAGCUGAGAUGGUGCCACUGCACUCCAGCCUAGGCCACAGAGUGAGACUCUGUCUCAAAAAUAAUAAUAAUAAUAAUAAUAAUAAUAAUAAUAAUUCUCACAUUGAAGAUGAUUGCAGAAUUCGAAAAUAAAUGAGAAAUUCGGCAUAUUUUUAUUGAGCUCCUACUAUUUGUCAGAUGUUAUUCUAUGGAUAGGGAAAGAAAGACUAUGUAAAAGGCCCAAUUUCUAUGCACCAGAAGCCGCUAUAUUUGCUAACCAAGAGAAACCAAGACUUAUCACAAAUGAGCCAGGAGAGCCAUUAUUCCCAGUAUCUGGGGUUUAGGAAAAUUAAGGAAAUGUCUUAUAUGUAGGCUGUUGACAUUAUCUUCAAAUGAAGUACUUGACUUCACAGAGAUUCACUGACAGGCUUGAAAGAAGCCACACAAAAUAGAACUUUAUAUGCCAUGAUGGGGCCAAGAGCGCUACGGAACAUUAUAAAUUCUAUAAAUAUCUUCUCCAUAGUAUGAUGCUAAUGCAUUACAUUUUCGUGUUGAUUCAUCUAUUAAAUGUAAAAAUUGUUAAUAAUAAAAAUUUUUGCAUUUCUAUUUCGUGUUCCUUCACUUCUUAAUAUAUGGGAACCUCAAAAACUGGUAAUGGCUCUAGUCCGCUCGGCACUCCUGAGAAACCCCAAGGAAAGUAUUUUCUUUCCUUUCUAAACAGAACCAUACCACG
rnacentral:lncRNA from 1 species